rnacentral:rRNA from 1 species
UACGUAGGGCGCAAGCGUUGUCCGGAAUUAUUGGGCGUAAAGAGCUCGUAGGCGGUUUGUCGCGUCUGCUGUGAAAGCCCGGGGCUUAACCCCGGGUCUGCAGUGGGUACGGGCAGACUUGAGUGCAGUAGGGGAGACUGGAAUUCCUGGUGUAGCGGUGAAAUGCGCAGAUAUCAGGAGGAACACCGAUGGCGAAGGCAGGUCUCUGGGCUGUAACUGACGCUGAGGAGCGAAAGCAUGGGGAGCGAACAGG